CCCAUUUUCUCUUCCUGACGCCCCAAAUUUCCAUUCCAUCCCUACACAUUCCCUGAGUGUUUCCCUCCCAAGCAUCCUUCUCUUCUUCCCUGUUUAAUAACUCACACUCCAGCCCCAGGCUCUCCACUCCCCCCUCAGUGGGACCCCUCCAAAAUGCCACCUCCCUCCCCUCUGCAGCACCUCACCUUUUCCUACACAAACAGUUGCUGGGGCCCCUCGAAAUUACCCCAAGUUGGCAGCUACAAAUGUCACCUCUGUCCCUGCCAUGUUAUCCCAGGUUUCCCCAGCUGGGAGCUGCAAGGAAUUCAGGCCAGGGAAUGGACAGCAGGGAACAGCUGUACAUGCAAAGGCAGAAAGAGAAGUUUCCCAGGGAGAAGAACAGGAACUCACAGCCACCAAGGCCUGACAGUCCCCUGCAGCCAGAGCUCAGCACACACCCAGAGAGGCAAUUCCAGCAUCUAAAAGGAAAAAAAAGAACAAAAAAAGUGAUUUAUUUUGUUUUAAAGUUA